rnacentral:misc_RNA from 1 species
GAUGAAGAACGUAGCGAAAUGCGAUACGUAAUGUGAAUUGCAGAAUUCAGUGAAUCAUCGAGUCUUUGAACGCACAUUGCGCCCCCUGGUAUUCCGGGGGGCAUGCCUGUCCGAGCGUCAUUGCUGCCCUCAAGCACGGCUUGUGUGUUGGGCCUCCGUCCUCCUCCCGGGGGACGGGCCCGAAAGGCAGCGGCGGCACCGCGUCCGGUCCUCGAGCGUAUGGGGCUUCGUCACCCGCUUUUGUAGGCCCGGCCGGCGCUUGCCGACACAUCAAUCUUUUUUCCAGGUUGACCUCGGAUCAGGUAGGGAUACCCGCUGAACUUAAGCAUAUCAAUAAGCGGAGGA